rnacentral:rRNA from 1 species
UACGGAGGAUGCAAGCGUUAUCCGGAAUGAUUGGGCGUAAAGCGUCCGUAGGUGGCAAUUCAAGUCGAUUGUCAAAGGUCAAAGCUCAACUUUGAAGCGGCAGUGGAAACUGAAAUGCUAGAGUGCGGUAGGGGUAGAGGGAAUUCCCAGUGUAGCGGUGAAAUGCGUAGAGAUUGGGAAGAACACCGGUGGCGAAAGCGCUCUGCUAGGCCGAAACUGACACUCAUGGACGAAAGCUAGGGGAGCGAAUGGG